UCAUCCCAGACAGGAAGGGUGUAGCCUA
rnacentral:piRNA from 1 species